GUAAGCGAGUGGGUUAUGCAUGUUACUUGCAGUUAAUUACAGCGGGGGAAUGACAGGAGCUGGUGUUGGACAACGCGCCUUGGAGCGAAGCCUGCAGGAGAUGCCGGCAGCGAGGAGGCAGAAGCAAGCAGAUAUCGGGGGGCAGAAGUAGCCGCGAAGGAUGAAAACCCCGUGCCCCGGCAGAAGCUCUGGGAGGGGAAGCAGAGCAAACCCCAGGCAAACACCGGGCGGAAGGAGAGGAGCAACGCGAACACGCUGGCUGCUGGCGAAGCUUUGACCUUGCCUGGCGGGUGGAAAGGCUGCUGAUAUGCUGAUAUACGGCUUUACCGUUCUCGUCCAAGCCACAUUUCAACAGACAUCCCUUUAGCGCUGUGUCGUAUCACGGCCGAGUGCUCGGUGUGCUGGAGGAAAUUCCCAUCUGCCUCCAAGUGCCCAGCUUCUUCCUUGGGCUCUGCACACCGGCUCCACAUGGUUUCGUUUUCCUCACCAGCAAUAAUAAAUCUGUUAGUGAAAGCGUCUGCUGGAGGUGUCUGCUCGCCGAUAGAAAAGCCUCCAUCGCCUACGCAGGAUGUCCAUGUCAACAGCUUACAAAUCCUGCUCCCGCGCCCGUCCGGGAGGCGAGGGGCUGGGCUGGGGGCCCUGGGAUGGGGCUGCCUUCCCUGCUGGGACGCCUAGUCGGAUGCAUCGACAGAGAAUUCCUUUCAUGGGGGAAAAACUCCUCCAAUUAACUUCGUUAACAGCCCGGUCCGCUCUGCCCAGGCUGCUGGGAGCUCGUCCUGCGGCCGCCGAGGGCUGGCACUGCCCGAGCCGGGGCACAGGGUGAUGCCCUCCUUUGGGGACUGCAGGACAAGCACCAACCCCCACCCAGCGCAGCCCCCGAAAGCUUUCUUGGGAGUAAAAGCCAAUUGCCUAACUUCGUACCAUCGGCUGCAAGGUCUCCAAAGCCAGCCUCCCCCAAGCACGGGCCUGGGAAGCAAAAAAAACAU